rnacentral:rRNA from 1 species
UACGGAGGGAGCUAGCGUUGUUCGGAAUUACUGGGCGUAAAGCGCGCGUAGGCGGCUUUGUAAGUUAGAGGUGAAAGCCCGGGGCUCAACCCCGGAAUUGCCUUUAAGACUGCAUCGCUUGAAUCCGGGAGAGGAGAGUGGAAUUCCGAGUGUAGAGGUGAAAUUCGUAGAUAUUCGGAAGAACACCAGUGGCGAAGGCGGCUCACUGGACCGGCAUUGACGCUGAGGUGCGAAAGCGUGGGGAGCAAACAGG